GCUGGAGUAAAGCCCCCCCGACUGAGUGAGGAUCUCUUGCUUCCUCCUGCAGACGUUGCAGACCCACAUCACCUGGAACACAGAUGCACCUGAUCACUGAUACACCAUCGAGGGUCAGGCAGCAGCAUAAUGAAAACAGCAGCAGGCUGCAGGAUGAGAGAAGUGAAGAGAAGUCAGCAGACAGAGAGUGACAUGACGGAGGACCCUCGGACCGAAGGAAGAGAAAUCAUCAGGAACGACACGGCUGCACCACGAAGCAGGAUCUGGGCUUAUCCAGGUAACUUCAGGGUUAACCCUGCUGGGUUUUCAGCACCACGACGGUGGUUCACUUCUUACCGGGUGUGAUGGCCUGGCUCAGAGGCCGCAGCAAACAGAGGAAACCACGCCAUGAAAUUAACAAAGAACAUCUGCUGUGAUGAAAGAGACAAACGCAGGGCGCCUGCUCCGGCACUGUUUGAGGGCGAGAGGUGUACAGACACGCAGGAGACGGGAAGGGGAACACGACACACCGCUGGCAGCACCACCAGCUGCUCCAGGAGCAGAGUUCAAGUCUUAUCUUAGGAUCAGUCGGGCUGAUGGGCUGAUGGUUUUGAGCUCCUGCGGGCUCUUUCUGAUCCUGGUCAUUGAUUCAGUCCAUAAUCUGAAGACCUGGUGACCUUUUCUGGAUGAAUCUCCGUUGAUGUGGACAUCACUUCUUUUUCUGUCCCCUUCACGUUU